rnacentral:rRNA from 1 species
UACGUAGGUGGCAAGCGUUGUCCGGAAUUAUUGGGCGUAAAGCGCGCGCAGGCGGUCCUUUAAGUCUGAUGUGAAAGUCAAAGGCUCAACCUUUGAAUGUCAGCGGAUACUGCCGGGCUAGAGUCCGGAAGAGGCGAGUGGAACUCCUGGUGUAGCGGUGGAAUGCGCAGAUAUCAGGAAGAACACCAACGGCGAAGGCAGCUCGCUGGGACGGAACUGACGCUGAGGCGCGAAAGCGUGGGGAGCGAACAGG